UGAGUCGUGACUCGAGUGAACUGUAAAUGAUUCAAUCAGACAGAAUAGCGAAACCACUCCAAACGAUUCACUCUGUAAGUGAACAAAUCGAAUCAUUUAGACGAACCGUACAUUUUGAGAACUGCUCAUGUAAAAGAACCGAGUUCUUGUGAUUCAACUAAUUCAUUAACGAAUCGGGCAUCGAUAAUAUUAUUCCAAAAAUCUGAAAGAGCAUAUGGGAAAUGCAACCUGACUGCUGAAAUAUUGUCACGUUAGCAAAUGUCAACGCAUCCUGCAGCUUCGCUAACACUUAGUGGAAAGUGUCGUACGAUAGCUUUACUGUUUGUUGUAAAAUGUAAUUUCUAAAUUUUAGUCUUGCCUUUUUUUUUAGGUGUGGUUUAACAAUUCCAGUCAGAAUGAAGAUGAGGAACUUUUAUCAUCUGACGACUCUGAUGGACUCACAACUCAUACUGAUUCAACAACCAGUUCUCUCACUGACUCCAGUGUUACUGUAACAAACAGCAUCAACACUCUGCAGGCUGGUGAGGAUCAGAGCUGUUCCCCUGCAGUGAUGAAGAAUCAUCCGCAGAGAUCAGACGGUAUUUGAUCUCUCACACCCAUGCAUACCGACAUUUGUGCAUAAAAUUUGUUCUUAUAUAUCUAUUUUAGAUUCUUGACUGUUUCACUAUUUAUUUCCAAAUUCCUAGUAUGUGUUGUAAUGAGUCAGAGGAAGAAGAGAAAGAGAAGUUCAUCCCUACAUCCAAAAGUGAGACAGAGAAAUAUAAAGUGAGACGAACACUUAGCUUUCUCAGAAGCCGGAUGGUGAACACCAAAAUAAAAAACAAGGUAAAUGCAGAGGUUUCCUCAGCUUUGCAUCAGCUCUGCUCACCACAGCCGCGUGUUGAAGCAGCUUGUAAUGUCUGUGAGGGUGCUGACGGUGAUGAACCACAGCCGUGCACAUGUAAGUGUGUGUUUCUUGUACAGACUUAUAUUUUUACAUACAUUAAAAUGUGAAAUAAAUGUAAAUAUACUGGCUUUAUGAUGUCA
ensembl:lncRNA